rnacentral:rRNA from 1 species
UACGUAGGGGCAAGCGUUGUCCGGAUUUAUUGGGCGUAAAGAGCGUGUAGGCGGCUGGGUAGGUCCGUUGUGAAAACUCGAGCUCAACCUCGAGACGCCGAUGGAAACCCUCCAGCUAGAGUCCGGAAGAGGAGAGUGAAUUCCUGGUGUAGCGGGUGAAAUGCGCAGAUAUCAGGAAGAACACCCGUGGCUAAGGCGGCUCUCUAGUACGGUACUGACGCUGAGACGCGAAAGCGUGGGAGCGAACAGG